UAACACGUGGGUGACCUGCCCUUAGCUCUGGGAUAAGCCUGGGAAACUGGGUCUAAUACCGGAUAUGACCUCAUGACUCAUGUUGUGGGGUGGAAAGCCUUGUGCGGCUAGGGAUGGGCCCGUGGCCUAUCAGCUUGUUGGUGGGGUAAUGGCCCACCAAGGCGACGACGGGUAGCUGGUCUGAGAGGAUGGCCAGCCACAUUGGGACUGAGAGACGGCCCAG
rnacentral:rRNA from 1 species